rnacentral:rRNA from 1 species
AACGUAGGGUGCAAGCGUUGUCCGGAAUUACUGGGUGUAAAGGGAGCGCAGGCGGAUUGGCAAGUUGGGAGUGAAAACUAUGGGCUCAACCCAUAAAUUGCUUUCAAAACUGUCAGUCUUGAGUGGUGUAGAGGUAGGCGGAAUUCCCGGUGUAGCGGUGGAAUGCGUAGAUAUCGGGAGGAACACCAGUGGCGAAGGCGGCCUACUGGGCACUAACUGACGCUGAGGCUCGAAAGCAUGGGUAGCAAACAGGAUUAGAUACCCUGGUAGUCCAUGCCGUAAACGAUGAUUACUAGGUGUGGGAGGAUUGACCCCUUCCGUGCCGCAGUUAACACAAUAAGUAAUCCACCUGGGGAGUACGACCGCAAGGUUGAA